rnacentral:rRNA from 1 species
GACGAACGCUGGCGGCGUGCUUAACACAUGCAAGUCGAACGGAAAGGCCCUGCUUUUGUGGGGUGCUCGAGUGGCGAACGGGUGAGUAACACGUGAGUAACCUGCCCUUGACUUUGGGAUAACCUCAGGAAACUGGGGCUAAUACCGGAUAGGAGCUCCUGCUGCAUGGUGGGGGUUGGAAAGUUUCGGCGGUUGGGGAUGGACUCGCGGCUUAUCAGCUUGUUGGUGGGGUAGUGGCUUACCAAGGCUUUGACGGGUAGCCGGCCUGAGAGGGUGACCGGCCACAUUGGGACUGAGAUACGGCCCAGACUCCUACGGGAGGCAGCAGUGGGGAAUAUUGCACAAUGGGCGGAAGCCUGAUGCAGCAACGCCGCGUGCUGGAUGACGGCCUUCGGGUUGUAAACCGCUUUCGCCUGUGACGAAGCGUGAGUGACGGUAAUGGGUAAAGAAGCACCGGCUAACUACGUG